ensembl:lncRNA novel transcript
GUCCCGCGUCCUCCGCGGCUCAGGACGACUACGCUCGGCACGUCCGGGACCCUCCGGCCGUGGCGGUUGCAGCGCCAAAAGCUCGGGCCUCAGCCCCUGACGCUGUGGUGACUCCGCCGCGCCUCGCCGUCGCCCCUGUCCCCGUCCUGCCCGCCGCCUCCGCCGCUGGGGACAUGUCCAACCCCGGAAGCCGGAGGAACGGGCCCGUCAAGCUGCACCUGACAGGUAUAUUGAAAAGUCUGAUUCAGUUACAAUCAGUGUAUGGAAUCACAAGAAGAUCCAUAAGAAACAAGGUGCUGGAUUUCUCCGUUGUGUUCAUCUUUUUCCAGUGCCAUCAACCACCUCAAAGACACUGGUUAUCAGAGGUUGGAUUUAUGCAAACCUGGGCCAAAGGACAGUUAGAAGACGACGGAGUUUCACUCUUGUCGCCCAGGCUGGAGUGCAGUGGCGUGAUCUUGGCUCACUGCAACCUCCGUCUCCCUGGUUUAAGCGAUUCUCCAGCCUCAGCCUCUGGAAUAGCUGGGAUUACAGUGCUGAUGGGCCCGUGCAACAGUUGCUGGUAAAUGGCUGAUUAAAAAGCACAGAAAGCCGAACAAGACCCAACCAAAUUUGCCUCUCCUCUCAGGCUGGAGCGCAGUGGCACGAUUCCAACUCAUGGCAACCUCCACCUCCUGGGUCAAGUGAUUCUCCUGCUUCAGCCUCCUGAGUAGCUGGGAUUACGGGCACCUGCCACCACACCCAGCUAAUUUCUGUAUUUUUACAAAAAUUUGGACUCUGCUUAGAUUGGCUUAGUUUUCUCUUUAGUCAAAUCUUCAGGAACCAAUUUAUUACCAUUAAAAAUGAUCUAACAAGCUUUAUUUUUAUUAUUGUUAAAAAUCCUCAUUUUGAGGAACACAACCACAAAGUAAAGAAUGUUUUCAUUGAUUUAACCAGUAAAAAUCAAUAUUUAAUUAUAAAAUUUUUUUUUUCUUCAGCUAAAACAGCGGAAGAGGUGAUUUAUUAUAUGGUUGUUACACUCGGCCACAAAUAAACACAGAAAUAGUCCAGAAUGUCACAGGUCCAGGGCAGAGGACCAACAUGGGCAUUUUGUUUAUGAGCAAGGUGGGUCUCAGAGGUGAUCGGCGAUCAGAGGGCGAUGAAGUUCUAGAUCCAUUGAGACAAGCUCUAGACAGUAGCAUGCAGUCCCACAACUUGUACCAGCAUCCCCAGCAUCUGGCAUUCCAUGUUUCUGCUCCUGUGGCCUCCACAGUGCAACAAGCUAGCGGUUUACUUGGACCUCUACCUCAUCUUUCUUCUUUUGCGCUUCAGCCUGCGCAUUCGCUUCUUCCUCCACUUGGCUCUCAUGGUGCAGGUUUCCAAGAAAAUGGCGCUAAGGCCGAGAGUUAAUAAUAAAAUAUUUAAAACAUGGCUCCAGGCCAUCCAGAUGCCUUAACUUGGGCUCAGGCUCCUGAUACUGAUGGGUCUUUUAUCUUCCUCUGAUGCCUUUUCUGUGAAUUCACCUGUUUUGGAAGAAAACACAAUUAAGGUUAUCUAUCACAACAACCACUAUCUCCAAUGUGUAUUCAUUCCUUUUAUUCAUUUUAAGUCUCAUCUACCUGAUGAGAUAACUUUUUUGAAGACAGGCAUUAUAUGCUGUUUAACAGUACUUUGAUUCUUCCACAGUUCAGUCAUCCUUGCUACCUUGCAGAGGACUGGUUCUAGGAUAUCGCCCCCACACCAUACCAGAAUCUGUGGAUGCUCAAUCCCUUAAAUAUAAUGGUGCAGUGUUUGCAUAUAACCAACACCCCCGCCCCCAUAUACUUUAUUUAUUUACUUACUUAGAGACAGGAUCACCCUCUGUCACUCAGGCUGGAGAACAGUGUCACAAUCACAGCUCACUGCAGCCUCAACUUCCUGGGCUCCAGUGAUCUGCCCACCUCAGCCUCUUGAGUAGCUGGGACUACAGGUGCAUACCACCACACCUGGCUAAUUUUUUUAUUUUUAUUUUUAUUAAAGACAAGGUCUCACUAUGCUGCCCAGGUUGGCCUCCCAAAGUGUUGGGAUUACAAGUGUGAGUCACCGUGCCUGGUCCCAUGUACUUGAAGUCAUCACUAACAAAAUGUAUAGAUAUUGUAUAAUGGCAACAGUUGUUAUACUGUACUUUCUAUUUGUAUUUUUAUUUUUUCUUUCUUCAAAUAUUCAGCCUCAUCUAGUUGAAUCUGAAGAUGUGGACCUGCUGAUGAAGAGGGCUGAUUGUAUCUAACUUAGGGUCUUGCAUGCAGCUGGCACUUAAUGCAUUUUAUUGACUGUUUUAGCUAACAUUCAAUGGACAAUUCCUAAUAAAAAACUCCACUCCCAAAAGUA